UUCAUAUUUUUUCAGAUAUACUUGAGGGAAUUACUCAUCUCUUGAAUAUUUGUUGAACUUGUUUUUUCUUUAUGUGAAUUUUUUUUUUUACAGAUAUUUCUUUAAUAUAUCGAAGAUUUAUCGUAAAUAUCCUAAGUUAGAUAUUUGAUGGUAUCGGAGAAAUAUCGGAGAUACGGUAGAAGAUAAGAUAUUUACCCCUCUAAAUAUAUCGGUCCUUAAAAAAAAAAAGAUAUCGUGAUGAAGUAUAAAGUGUAGAGAAAGAGAGAUAGCAAGAGAAUCAUCAUCUUAUUCAUUGAUAGGAGCCCUUUAUAUAGGGAAUUACACAAUACCAAUAUGGUAAGGAUAUGAAUACAUAGAUCUAGUUAAACUAAAUAUCCUAUUGGCAUAAGGUCAAGGCACACAGGUAANAAGUAUCUAGAAAGAUACAGAAUAUCCUAGAACACUCCCCUUUGUAUCGCGCGCUGAUAUGUUGAUGGUGCUGAUCUGUUGCCUCGUCAAAAACCUCGUCAAGUCACAAAAACCCUGUGGGAGAAAAACUGAACCUUGAUCGUAGGAGAAAAAGAGUACAACGCACCCUUCACAUUUGAUAGUGACAUGUAUGUAUGUACGAGACUCCCCCUGAAGUUCGCACCUCCCCCUGAUCUUUACAUCAAUCAUAGGGCUCUUCCUGAUUCUUACUAAUCACGGAAAUUUCAACAACUUAGCAUGUCAAUGCUCUUUAACAUGUCUUCAAAUGUGGCAUUAGGCAAUGAUUAACUAAAUCAUGCCGUAUUGUCCUCAAAUGAUCUUUUACACUUAGAUCUUGAGGAGAAGGCCGCUUGUGAACUCAAAACAUAAGUUCGUGCAGGAAAUUAGAUUUCCGCGCAGCAUGACCUUCAGUUACUAGAACAGUCGUAACUUCCUCUAGGAAAUACAUAUGAACGAACCGUUGGAGUCGUGUUUGGGUGACGUCAAUGGCCCCCGGGUCAACACCAUGCUUCAUGGUGAUGCUAGAUCUCGAAUGUCUUC
rnacentral:lncRNA from 1 species